rnacentral:rRNA from 1 species
AAUGAACGCUGGCGGCAGGCCUAACACAUGCAAGUCGAACGAGUGGCGGACGGGUGAGUAAUGUAUGGGAAAGUGCCCUAUAGAGGGGGCUAACUAGUGGAAACGGUGGAUAAUACUGCAAACUAUCGGCUGAGCCAAAAUUGGAUGAGGUAGUUGGGGGGGUAAUGGCUCACCAAGGAGACGAUCCCUAGCUGGUCUGAGAGGAUGAUCGGCCACACUGGGACUGAGACACGGCCCAGACUCCUACGGGAGGCAGCAGUGGGGAAUCUUGCACAAUGGGCGAAAGCCUGAUGCAGCAAUGCCGCGUGGAUGAAGAAGGGCUUCGGGUUGUAAAGUACUUGUAGUAGGGAGGCGUUACCUAAAGAAGAAGCACCGGCUAACUCCGUGCCAGCAGCCGCGGUAAUAC